UCACACGCCAACGGGGGCUCGCACCAGCGGGCUGAGAGGACGGCUAGCCCUUUCGGGCGAUCAGGGCUGUCGACCGUAUGAACCUGACCGGGUAAUGCCGGCGUAGGGAGGAAGAUCACGAUGAAC
rnacentral:ncRNA from 1 species